rnacentral:rRNA from 1 species
GGGUUGUGAGGUUAAGCGACUAAGCGUACACGGUGGAUGCCCUGGCAGUCAGAGGCGAUGAAGGACGUGCUAAUCUGCGAUAAGCGUCGGUAAGGUGAUAUGAACCGUUAUAACCGGCGAUUUCCGAAUGGGGAAACCCAGUGUGAUUCGUCACACUAUCAUUAACUGAAUCCAUAGGUUAAUGAGGCGAACCGGGGGAACUGAAACAUCUAAGUACCCCGAGGAAAAGAAAUCAACCGAGAUUCCCCCAGUAGCGGCGAGCGAACGGGGAGCAGCCCAGAGCCUGAAUCAGUGUGUGUGUUAGUGGAAGCGUCUGGAAAGGCGCGCGAUACAGGGUGACAGCCCCGUACACAAAAAUGCACAUACUGUGAGCUCGAUGAGUAGGGCGGGACACGUGGUAUCCUGUCUGAAUAUGGGGGGACCAUCCUCCAAGGCUAAAUACUCCUGACUGACCGAUAGUGAACCAGUACCGUGAGGGAAAGGCGAAAAGAACCCCGGCGAGGGGAGUGAAAAAGAACCUGAAACCGUGUACGUACAAGCAGUGGGAGCCUCUUUUAUGGGGUGACUGCGUACCUUUUGUAUAAUGGGUCAGCGACUUAUAUUCUGUAGCAAGGUUAACCGAAUAGGGGAGCCGAAGGGAAACCGAGUCUUAACUGGGCGUUAAGUUGCAGGGUAUAGACCCGAAACCCGGUGAUCUAGCCAUGGGCAGGUUGAAGGUUGGGUAACACUAACUGGAGGACCGAACCGACUAAUGUUGAAAAAUUAGCGGAUGACUUGUGGCUGGGGGUGAAAGGCCAAUCAAACCGGGAGAUAGCUGGUUCUCCCCGAAAGCUAUUUAGGUAGCGCCUCGUGAAUUCAUCUCCGGGGGUAGAGCACUGUUUCGGCAAGGGGGUCAUCCCGACUUACCAACCCGAUGCAAACUGCGAAUACCGGAGAAUGUUAUCACGGGAGACACACGGCGGGUGCUAACGUCCGUCGUGAAGAGGGAAACAACCCAGACCGCCAGCUAAGGUCCCAAAGUCAUGGUUAAGUGGGAAACGAUGUGGGAAGGCCCAGACAGCCAGGAUGUUGGCUUAGAAGCAGCCAUCAUUUAAAGAAAGCGUAAUAGCUCACUGGUCGAGUCGGCCUGCGCGGAAGAUGUAACGGGGCUAAACCAUGCACCGAAGCUGCGGCAGCGACACUAUGUGUUGUUGGGUAGGGGAGCGUUCUGUAAGCCUGUGAAGGUGUACUGUGAGGUAUGCUGGAGGUAUCAGAAGUGCGAAUGCUGACAUAAGUAACGAUAAAGCGGGUGAAAAGCCCGCUCGCCGGAAGACCAAGGGUUCCUGUCCAACGUUAAUCGGGGCAGGGUGAGUCGACCCCUAAGGCGAGGCCGAAAGGCGUAGUCGAUGGGAAACAGGUUAAUAUUCCUGUACUUGGUGUUACUGCGAAGGGGGGACGGAGAAGGCUAUGUUGGCCGGGCGACGGUUGUCCCGGUUUAAGCGUGUAGGCUGGUUUUCCAGGCAAAUCCGGAAAAUCAAGGCUGAGGCGUGAUGACGAGGCACUACGGUGCUGAAGCAACAAAUGCCCUGCUUCCAGGAAAAGCCUCUAAGCAUCAGGUAACAUCAAAUCGUACCCCAAACCGACACAGGUGGUCAGGUAGAGAAUACCAAGGCGCUUGAGAGAACUCGGGUGAAGGAACUAGGCAAAAUGGUGCCGUAACUUCGGGAGAAGGCACGCUGAUAUGUAGGUGAAGCGACUUGCUCGUGGAGCUGAAAUCAGUCGAAGAUACCAGCUGGCUGCAACUGUUUAUUAAAAACACAGCACUGUGCAAACACGAAAGUGGACGUAUACGGUGUGACGCCUGCCCGGUGCCGGAAGGUUAAUUGAUGGGGUCAGCGCAAGCGAAGCUCUUGAUCGAAGCCCCGGUAAACGGCGGCCGUAACUAUAACGGUCCUAAGGUAGCGAAAUUCCUUGUCGGGUAAGUUCCGACCUGCACGAAUGGCGUAAUGAUGGCCAGGCUGUCUCCACCCGAGACUCAGUGAAAUUGAACUCGCUGUGAAGAUGCAGUGUACCCGCGGCAAGACGGAAAGACCCCGUGAACCUUUACUAUAGCUUGACACUGAACAUUGAGCCUUGAUGUGUAGGAUAGGUGGGAGGCUUUGAAGUGUGGACGCCAGUCUGCAUGGAGCCGACCUUGAAAUACCACCCUUUAAUGUUUGAUGUUCUAACGUUGACCCGUGAUCCGGGUUGCGGACAGUGUCUGGUGGGUAGUUUGACUGGGGCGGUCUCCUCCUAAAGAGUAACGGAGGAGCACGAAGGUUGGCUAAUCCUGGUCGGACAUCAGGAGGUUAGUGCAAUGGCAUAAGCCAGCUUGACUGCGAGCGUGACGGCGCGAGCAGGUGCGAAAGCAGGUCAUAGUGAUCCGGUGGUUCUGAAUGGAAGGGCCAUCGCUCAACGGAUAAAAGGUACUCCGGGGAUAACAGGCUGAUACCGCCCAAGAGUUCAUAUCGACGGCGGUGUUUGGCACCUCGAUGUCGGCUCAUCACAUCCUGGGGCUGAAGUAGGUCCCAAGGGUAUGGCUGUUCGCCAUUUAAAGUGGUACGCGAGCUGGGUUUAGAACGUCGUGAGACAGUUCGGUCCCUAUCUGCCGUGGGCGCUGGAGAACUGAGGGGGGCUGCUCCUAGUACGAGAGGACCGGAGUGGACGCAUCACUGGUGUUCGGGUUGUCAUGCCAAUGGCACUGCCCGGUAGCUAAAUGCGGAAGAGAUAAGUGCUGAAAGCAUCUAAGCACGAAACUUGCCCCGAGAUGAGUUCUCCCUGACUCCUUGAGAGUCCUGAAGGAACGUUGAAGACGACGACGUUGAUAGGCCGGGUGUGUAAGCGCAGCGAUGCGUUGAGCUAACCGGUACUAAUGAACCGUGAGGCUUAACCUUACAACGCCGAAGCUGUU